GGUUACUGCGUAGGAGACGAACAUUUUCUUAAACCGGUUUAGCAUCAAAUCAAGUAGGACCUACUCCGGUGACCUCAGACGAACAUUCGUGUAAAAAAUGGAUUGAAAUGGACAAUCAUAAAAUUUUGGGCUAUGGACUUAUUGAAGACAACUGUAUGGAGAUAAACAGAAACACAGAGGUGCUAUACUUUCUGAUGGAAAAGACAACAAAAGCAUCUCCCAUCAUUUUGGCGUGGCUCAGAUCAAGAGGAGAAAUUUAAAAAAGGUGAUGGUUGGGCACAAACAAGAAGACAUAGAUCACAGGCGUAUAGCAUAUGAGUAGACAGGAGUUUCACACUCUGCCAGACUUACUUCCUCAGACGAGCAGAUUUAGGCUUCUCAAGAUCACGCACUGCACACUAAGACAUAGUCUUUGACUACAACAAGGCCUUAGGGGAUGAAAGUACAGAGAGGUCCAAUUGAAAUCAAUUCUGUGCUGCGUCAUUUCUUUAUUCUAGAGGUUGAUGGACAUGAUUUAUGGCAUCAAGUGUGCAGUUUGUCAACUAACUAUCAACACAGCAGUCUUGUUCACCAGCUGCUCAACUUGAGCUUUUAGCUUUAUUGCUUGAAGCCACUGUAUAAGAGGAGGGAAGGUGCAGACUCAUCAAAAAGUCUCAAGGUUGAAACUAGGAAGAGAAGUUUGUCAAGAGUGUGAAUAUUUGCUUUGAAAACAAUUGUUACAAUGAUUUGGUUUCCUUUGAAACUUGAUACAUACUAUGUGUAUGUUGAAUGAAUUGAGAUGCUUAAAUAAAGAACCACUAUUCAAAUAUCAGGAAACUGCAUUUUUCAUACUAAAUUGGUAAAUGAUGUCACCAUUUCCUGUAUGUAUUUAGAUAAGAUAUGUUUCCACAAUUAAUAUUUUUAGGGACUAUUUCUCAACGUAAUGAAAUAGAUUAAAUUUGUACAGCGUUAUAUGAGCUUAAUAUGUGUUUUCUGUUUCCUUAAAAUUGAUGAAAAAUUGUCAGAAGGUAAUGAGACCAGUAUCCAUUACUGCAAUCAUACAAUAAAAAAUACAGGGACAAGCCCACUGCUCAUAUAAUAUGAUUAAACCUUGUUUAGGGGCAUGAGGCAAACAGAGUUACUUUCAAAUGUUAAAGAUGCACUCUCACACUUUGGAUGUUUUGACAACUGUUUUCAUUUUUAGCUCUACUGGCCAAAGGCCAGAAGAGCUUAUGCGAUGGUAAUGUGUACGUAGUAUGUGCGUCUGUAAACAAUCCUCGUUUACAUGAUACAGCCUACAGUUCCUUUCGAAAACCAGCCAGAUCCGCCCAUGUAUGCCUAGUUUAUGGGCCUUGAUAGUAUACAAAAAUCAGUGUGUCAGUAGGCAAUUGCUCGUUAACAUGAUACAGCCUUUUUGAUUGUAUCUCAAUGAAACUUGUACAGUAUCUACAUAUCCAUAUGAGCUCGGUUCCUUUCGAAAACCAGCCAGAUCCGCCCAUGCAUGCCAAGAUUAUGGGCCUUGAUAAUAAAAAAAAAAUAGUGUGUCAGUAAACAAUUGCUCGGUAACACGAUACAGUCUUCAGUUUUGAUUGUAUCUUGAUGAAACUUGUCCAGUAUAUCCAUUAGAGCUCAGUUCCUUUCAAAAACCUGAUCUGCCCAUGUUUCCUGGAUUAUUGGCCUUGAAAUUAUUAGAUGAUGGGCCUUGAUAGUAUAAAAAAUGCUAUUUUGUAAUAAAUGCUUGCGAAUAUGAUACAGUCUUCAGUUUUGAGUAUUCAGAUACCCAUAAGGGGUUGGUUCUUUUCGAAAACAGUGAUGUUGACCACACAAACCCAGCCAGUAGAGCAUAGGCCCUUUUGGGCCUCUUGUUUGUUUUGGAUUGGUACCAUCCAGUCUUUGCGAAAAAUGCAUGAAAACCAGUAAUAUAAGACUACUGACAAAAAAUUCAAUUGCAGACUUUUUUAUUUAAGUUAAAACAUUGAUGUUUUAUGCACUUUUCUUAAACCGUUAGUAACAUUAAUCUUCGAAGGAAAUAUGAAAUCUGGGAUUUGAUGUUUUGUCAGCAAUCUUUUACCAUUGGUUUGCUGAUAUUUACGCAAAAAUUUGCUCAUUCCAAGACAAAACAAAAGUUGUUAAAACGGUAUAUCUGUGAGAAUGCAGCUCUAAAUGUUUUGGCAAACAUGUUUUUGAUUUGGCAGCACAAUCAAUCUUGAACAUUGCUUGAUUUUACUGCUGUAUUAGAAAUUACAGGGGUAAUGGGGGAUUUUUUUUAGUGUUUUUAUUGCUUUUUGUGAUUCAUACAGUCAUACUUCAUUCCCCAGGGCACAACUUACAAAUAGACAGAACAGGAAAAUGGUCAUUUUAAAAGGUCAAGGACAAUGCAAGUUGAACAAUCAUAUUGUUCAUGGCUUGUAUUUUUGGUAUAUUUUGUUGCAUAUAUGCUAUAAAAAAGUUGAAAGUUAAAAAUAACUUCAUAGUUGAAAUGAUGGCUUUGAAUGGUUUUGUCAGUUGAGAAACAGCACUAUUAAGAAAUAUGUUAAUGGUACUUUAUUAUUUUAAUCAAUUUUAGAUAUUUGUAUGAAAAUUAUUAUCUUAUUUUGUACAUGAGACCUUUUAAACAGUUAUUUAUAAUUUAACAAUGUGUAAAUGAUCAAAACUUAAAGCUGCACUUUCACAGAUUGUCAUUUUAGACACUUUAAAAAUUUUGUCUCAAAAGCUGAUUUGGUUAUCAUUCCUUUAAUUCAGUCAUAUUAGAUAAUUCACAAUAGAACCAAUCAAAAAUGUUUGGUAAGACUGCCGAAAAGUUCAUUUACAUUAAAUUGUUCGUAAUGCUACUAUACCCAUAAAACAUCAUUUUAGCCAUAAAUAUGACAAAAUGCAAUCUGAUCUUAUUUCAGAAGUCUUAUAUCACUUAAAAUUGGGUCUAUGCAAAAAAUGGUCUAUUUAUAGACCAACAAUAAAAGAGUGCCGGUAGUCAAAACGAUCAAUUAGUGAGAUUGCAGCUUUAAAUACACCUUUUUAAGUCCGCUGUAAAAUUCCAAUGGUUUGCCUCAAUCUUUAAAGCUAGCAUACUGUUUAAUUGACAGCCAUACUUUUUGUUUAAAAGUGUCAUGAUAUGUUUGUACAAUGUGUUUAUAUAAUUCAUUAAAGAAGUCAA